rnacentral:lncRNA from 1 species
UUUUUUUUUUGCUAUAGUAUAUGAGAGCAUCCCUGUAUGAGUAUCUAAUCUAUUAGCCCUUUUUGAUACUAUAUAUGCAACUUCUUUUUUCUUAAUAAAUGAUGUGAACCGUGUGUUGAACAUCAUUCAUCAGCCACUCAAUAUCUUUAUACAACAGACAUUCUGAUCUUUCUCAUGAUUUAGAUUUGUUAAAAGCCCUAAAUGCAAUCCUAGCUACCUGUAUUGCACUUUUGCCUGAGACCUAUAAGUUUGUUAAAACUGAAAAAUUGUUCAUCUCCAAAAGAACUGCACUAGGUCUAUUAAUGAUAAAGUUAUAUGAUUAUAAAAAAUGACAAAGCAAGUAGGAUAUCAAACAGAAACCUAAAAAGGGUAAAUCUUGCACCACCAUUGAAGAACUGAGGAAUUCUCAUUAGCAGCAAGUAAGAAGAGUGAAGACCACGAACUACCAAGGAAAUAGCUAAAGCAGCAGCAUUUCAAGGAGCUUAAUAUGGUAUAUUUGGAACUUGGAAAACAUAAGAGAAAAGGAAAGUCAAAUAAAAUCUACAAUCUAAUACACUAUAUAUUAACCUUUAUUUUUUUUAGAGACGAUAUUUUUUUUUAAAAAGUAUAGCUAAUUAGAUUUAUUUUCAUUACGAUAUUUUUUUCCUUUUUUACAUUAAUUUUUGUUUUCUUUUCCUCUGUGUUUCCAAGUUUCAUACAUACCUAAAGAAGAUGUGUGAUUCCGUCUCAAAAGUAAAAAAUUUUAAAAAAAGAAGAAGACAUUUUAAUCAUGUAAAUUAUCCAUUCAUUUUUAGAUGAAGGGUUUUUAUUUAUCCAUCCGUAGAAAAUGAUAAAGGUACUCAAAGACAGUAAAAAAAACUGAGUGAAAGGGUUUUCAAUGAUCCUAGAAAACUGAUAAUGAUUGAGGUACUGGAGGGCCCCUGCUAAACCACUAUAAAUCUCUGUUGUAGUUGCUCUUUACUUUCUGGCUUUACUAAUUCUUGCAUGUUUCAAUAUUUGGUGUCUGCAUACUUGAGAAACUGCAAUCAGCAAACAGGAUUAUGAUUAAUUUAUUUUUAUUCUUAUAUUUCCAUUUCUCAAAGAAAUCGUCUUUAACUUGAUAAUAUUAGUUUUGAGUCAGGUAUNNNNNNNNNNNNNNNNNNNNNNNNNNNNNNNNNNNNNNNNNNNNNNNNNNNNNNNNNNNNNNNNNNNNNNNNNNNNNNNNNNNNNNNNNNNNNNNNNNNNUAAAAGCUGCAUUCAAGUGCAGUAACUAUUUCAAGGAACCUGUACCAAAAUACUAUCCUAGGAUGAUGUUGAAGUAACUUCAUCAGACAUAAUGAAUAAGAGGAUAUAGUUCCUUAUACUCAAGUAAACAACAGUCUUAUAAGCAGAAUGAUAUCAUUAACUGACAUCAGAAUGUUGAGGUGGUGAACUUUUUCGGAACAAGUUAUUCUCUCUCCUUUUCACUUGUUCUGAUAUCUACAAAGCGAUACAACUCAACAAUACUGUCUAGACUCCCUAUAUAUGGUCCCUAUGGGAAAUCAAGUUCCUCAAAACCAAUUCUUAACUCCAUACAUACCUAAAGAUCUUACAUUGCUUUAGCCUUCUCUCUUACUUAUACACAAACUCAUCCAAACUUGAAGCAAUGUCUACAAUCAUGAGGUUGGGCGAAGAAUAUCCCAUGGUGAUUUUCAGCAAAAGCUCUUGCUGCAUGUGCCACAGCAUCAAGACACUAAUAUACAGUUUUGGUGCAAACCCAAUAGUCUACGAGCUCGAUGAACUUCCAAAUGGACAGCAAAUGGAGAAUGAACUGAAGUUACUAGGGCGUAAGCCAAGCAUACCAGCUGUGUUCAUAGGGAAGGAACUCAUUGGUGGUCCUCAUGAGGUCAUGAGCCUCCAUCUCAAGGCCAAGUUAGUUCCAAUGCUGUUAAAGGCUAAAGCUAUAUGGGUGUAGGACUAUCACUAAAGACAAUUAAGCUCUGAUCAGUAGCGUUAUAGUAUACGACAGCAUCCAUGUAUGAAUAUCUAGUAGCCCUUUUUGCUUCUAUGUAACUUCUUUUUUCCUAAAUAAAUGACGUGGACCAUGUGUUGAUCAUAAGCCACUCAUUGUGUUUAUACUACAUAAAUUUCUGCAGUGUCUCAUGAUUAAGGCUUGUUAAUACUCCUAGUAAAGCAUAUUGUAAGCCCUAAAUGCAAUCCUAACAAUUAAUAUAAUUUGCCUAAUGUUUAUCUCCAAAAGAGUUGCAAUGAGACUCAAAGUACGACUUUCUAUAUAUUUAAUAUUGUUCUACACAAACAGUCCCAUUUGAAAACAUUAAGGAUGUAUUUUUGUUUCAUAUUUACCCCUAAGCAUAAUAAGUUGUUAGUUUAAUAGCAGUUGCAUGAUAAUGACAUAAUAACAAGAAAUUUAAGGUAAGGUCAUCGUGUCAUUCCAUAAUACUAUCAAUAAAAAGAGAGGGCUAUAUUUGCGGGACAAAGAAAUUGGCAAAUGAAACUCUGUUUGCAAAACGAGGGAGUAGUACAUGUUUAUGUGAAAAUAUCUCAUAGUGUGUAUGAAGUUUUCAAUGUAAUAAGACUACAUGUAAGACUAGAGUAAGAAGACAUAAAGAACGAAUAAAUUUACAGUAAGAAGAUGGAACAAUGUAAUAAGACAGAGUGAAACCGAAAUAUGCACAAACUGAAACUGUACCAAAAUACUACAGGUACAGGGAAAGAAAUACGAAUUAUAGGACACAGUUCUUAUUUACUAGAGUAAUAACAGCGUUUUGUAAGCAGAAUGAUAUCAUUAACUGACAUCACAAUGCUGAGGUGUUGAACUUUGAUUACUUACAAAGGGUCCGUGCGCAUAAGUCAGUCAGCUGAGAUUACAUUGUGCAAAGAAGUUUCCUAGCCUAAUAGGAAAGAUGGUUCCCUAUGUGGGGUAUUUUAGAGAAUUUUUAUUAAAUAGGCCUUGCAAUCCUAAAUACUAAAAAGAUUUUAUGCUGCAACUAACAACAACAGUACAAUGCUCUAAUUACUAAACAGCCACAAGUGGCAUACUUUUCAACUUGUUAACCGACAAUUUGAUGCCUAAAUGUGUAGACAAUAAUAUAAUACUCUAAUGGCACGUUGAACAAAUAAGUAGUGGUGGGGGCAGGGUUGCCAAGGUAUCUUCUUCUCUUUAACAAAUACUAGCACCUAACUUUUAUCAUCUCAUGCUCGAUUACUCUUUCAUAAUCAUCUUUAGGUUUCCAUGAAUUGAAUUCGAAGCCAAUGUUCCCAACUUUUUUCUUCAACUCAGCAAAUGGUCAUUUGAUGCCAGAAUAUCAGCAAUAUACUACCCACGUUAUUAGUACUCUCUAAUCAUACGAUUUUAUGGGCACAAGGCAUUUCUUCCGUUAUAAUAUGAAAAAAGAGAUGCUCCUUAAUAUAUGCAGAAUGUGUAAUGUGCUAACUAAGUUGAGGUUAAUUGAGUCCUUUAGGAAUAUACAAUCUAACAAGUUAUUAUUUGUUCAUAUCAAUCUACUGAUAUGCAAAAUGUUAUUCCACACAGAUUUGGUAAUCUGGGAAUCCCCUAAAACAUUUCCAGAUCUGAUAUCUCUACUAAGUGAUGCAACUCAACACACUGUGUAGACAGGCUAAACUCUCUAUAAAUAGUCCUUAUGGUAGCUACCUCAAGUUCCUCGCAACCAAUUCUUUACUCCCAAACCAACAAUUGCUUUUUCCCCUAUGGUAGCAUAUGUUUUGGACAAGAUGCCCCUGUUUUAAAUGAGGUGCAUAGAAUUUAUCCUCAAUUAAUAUAUGUUAAUGUGAAAGGAAGUAUCAGUAGUGUAUCUCAUAGUGUGUAUCUCAUAGAGUUAUAAAUAUAUAUAUAUAUAUAUAUAUAUAACAGUUGUUAAAAGAAAAUUAUUAAAGGUCCAUAGUCAGCAUUUCUUUGUCUUCUUUUUCACGAGUGAAAGAUAGGGGAAUAAAAGCUGAAACAACUUGCAGAAAAUGCAUCUCAAAAGGAUAUCAAAAUUUUGAUAUAUGUUAUGCCAGGACUGACAUUUUGUACUUUAUAUANNNNNNNNNNNNNNNNNNNNNNNNNNNNNNNNNNNNNNNNNNNNNNNNNNNNNNNNNNNNNNNNNNNNNNNNNNNNNNNNNNNNNNNNNNNNNNNNNNNNAUAUAUAUAUAUAUAUAUAUAUAUAUAUAUAUAUAUAUAUAUCCACAUAUAUAUGGACUUAAGUUGUACAAAUGCUUCAUCAACCAAAUUUGAAAAAUAUCUCCCAACAACUAUUCACUUUUAAGACAAAAGUACAGGACAAUAUUUUAACUUCUCAUUCUGUAAUAAAUAUAGAAGAUAACAUGUGAAAUAGACAUAAAAGCUGAGCAAAAAUAUUACUAAAAGUAAGAAGACAUGUUAUGAAAAACAGAUUAAAGUUACAGCAAGAAGAAGAAGAAGAAGAAAUGUGCAGCAAGACGGGAUAAAACAGAAACAUGCACACAAUGGUAAAAUGUUGAAUAACUCAAUUCUCCAUGAUUCAAAGUUAAGUUAUAAGAAAUAGGCCUGUAAAACUGAUGAACUAAAUCAGAAAAAUAGAAGGGUAGGCUAAGGCACCUAAGAAUUUGUUUCUACGUCACAGCUUCAUUCAUUUGCCAACAAUUAUUUUAGGGAAAACUGUCUCAAAAUUACUACAGUAAAAAUGUCUCACGAUGAGGUAAAAAUAAAAUAUUUUACGACAACAUGACCCAACUGGCGCAUAUCCUAGUAAGAUAAAGGAUAAUACUAAUAGUAUUUAUCAAUAUGACAAAAUUUAGUUAAAAAACAUAACUAUUUAAGCAGAAUGACAUCAUUAAUUGACAUCACAAUGUUAAGGUGGUGAAAUUUCAUUAAAGUCAAAAGUAUACUUCUGGGAAGAUUACAAAGGGCCAAUGCACUUUAACCAUAAAAGGAAGUCAACUGAACUUUGCAAAAGUAGUAAUUAGUUUCUAAUGUUUAUCUGAUCAUCUUAUCUCAAAACAUUCCCCAAUACAAAGCUUUACUUUUGUUAGACUAUCCUGCAAAGAAGUUUAAUAACCUUUCUAUAUAGGCAAAAAUGGUUCCUUACGUUGGGCGGCAUUUUAGACAAUUUUUGUUGGGGCCUUACAAUCAUAAUUAACUACCUAAAAAAAAUGGCAACUACGUAGUUUGAGAGAAAUCUCAAACUAAUAGAUUUUCUUAUGCUACAACUAACCACAAUCCAAUACUUUAAUUGAAAAGCCAAUUUUCCAACUUGUUAACCGACAAUGUGAUGCCUAAAAGUGCAUAUUUCACAUAGAAAUACAGAAUCGCCUAAUGAUAAGAACAAUAUAUAUAGGAAUAAUAUGAUUGAUUGCGUACAUUGUUAUAACACUAAUAACACGUAGAAGUGGAUAAUGUGGUGGUAGGGCAGGGUUUGUCUAGGUAUUUUCUUCUCUUGUACAAAUGUCACGUGAAUAAAUAAAUAUAUCAGCUUGCACGCUAAAUCAAUCAUCUUUGUUAUCCAAAUUUUCACUUUCUUCGUCACUGUGCUAAGCUUUCGGUUUCCUUGAACUGAACUGGAGGAGGUGAAUCUUGUUAAUGGUGAAGAAAAGGAUACCCAUGUGGAUGAACUCAACAUCUUUCUCCACCUCAGUAGAUUCUACAGUAUGAAUCUACCAGAAACCCUAUAAACAUAUUACCAAACUGACCUCUGAAUUCAAAAGUAUAGUAAUUAGUAGCUAGGCUAGCUCAAAAAAAACUUAAAGCAGAGAGGACUGAGGGGACUAGUUUAUAGAGGAUGAUAUAUAAUAGAGGGACUGUAACCACAUUCCCACUACCAAUUUCAAUCCUGAAAAAUGCAAAAAGACAAAAUAUAGAUAUAUAAUAUCCAGCUUGUUACAUGGACCAUGUUUAGGCUAAAAGUGUCAUUUAAGAUGUGCAAACCUAUCAUGAAAUACUUUUUACAUAUCAAUUCUUGAUUCGUGUCUUGUUAUUCCAUUUCAAGUUGUCCUUGUCAAACAAUGACUAAGGUAAAUCUGGGAAACAAAAUGUUCCCUCCUUUUCUGAUAUUUUUAUCUCCUAACACCAUCAUCAAGCCUCUGUAUAUAGUUUCUUCUUAACAAAGCUUAAUCUCAAAUAACUCUCUCUCUCUCAACAAACCCUAAUCUCAUAUCUCUCUCUUCAGCUGCAGUUUGCCAAAAAAAAUUAUUUUUCAAUUACAGUGAUGGCAAUGAUCACAAGGUUAGGCGCUGAAACGCCUGUGGUGAUCUUCAGCAAAAGCUCUUGCUGCAUGUGCCACAGUAUUAAAACACUGAUACAGAACUUUGGGGCAAAUCCAACAAUUUACGAGCUCAAUGAACACCCAAAUGGACAGCAAAUGGAGAGGGAACUGAAGUCAUUAGGACGUAAGACAAGUGUACCAGUCGUCUUCAUAGGGAAGGAACUAAUUGGUGGUGCUAAUGAGGUCAUGAGCCUCCAUGUCAAAGGCAAGCUAGUCCCACUGCUCUUAAAGGCCAACGCCAUAUGGGUAUAGUAAAAUAAUUAAUAACACAAGGCUCUAAUCACUACCAUGCUGUCGUGAAUUAAAGAGCGUAAGGUUUUUCCUACAGUACUAAACUAGAACAGGCUUGGUAGAAGUAGUUUUCAGCCUUUUUCAAAGUUUGAGACAAAUAAUGUGCUUUUAACUUCAAUAUUUAGCUUUCUUUUCUUUAAAUAAAUAGCACAAAAGUUGUCUACUUUGUUUUAACAUCAAAACCAAAUGUUGACAUGUAUACCAAAAAUUAGUUGGGAGAUAGAGAAAGCUAGUAAAGGAUUGGAGAAAUUGGUUAUAAAACAGUGGGCUGCAUAUUUUUUUAACUAUGUUUUGAAGGUCAUAAAGAACACAUAAACGUACGGGUGUUACUGUGUGCAGGGUACAUAAUUAUCGAAUUCAAUGGUAUUUUUUGUUUAGUUCAGUCUAGCUAACGAGACAUCUAAAGAAUAUUCCUUGUUUCACAAUCAAGUAAACACAAGAGUAGAGUCUAGAGGUGUUCACAUCACCAUUACAACACAAGGAAACAAAAAGACAACCAAAAAGAAAUUGAAGUGAGGUAAAAUGUCCAACCCUGUUCUUGUUUUAACACUCCUCACCAUGAGAAAAUUUAUAGUCUCCAACAUACAAAGGUAGGCGUGAUUUCAAAAAAAUUAAACAACGCAUCACUGUGUACUUCUAGAAAGAAAUAUGCCACUAAUUUUUACUGAACAGCUAAAGCACAAAAAAUGAUUUAUUCAUGAACUCUUUUUAAGUAAAUCUAUAUGGUAUAAGAACAAAGAACACGAUUUCUAACAAUUGCACUACCAAAAAAGAAACAUAUCACUUUAAAUAUAACAAAACAUGACCAGGAACAUAAAAUCGUGUAAAAGUAGACAUACUUGUCCUCACUCCUCCAUCUUCAAACAUUCAAAUGAUUAAGAAAGACAGACACAGAAAUUUCUGCCAGAUUUUCUUUAGUCUGUCAAAAUCGAUUAUCAUCCCGUAAAAUCCUCGGUCCUGGAAGACUUUACUAGACCCCAAACUAGAUUGGAAGAGCAAGUUUUCCAUCAAGAUAUAUUACAAAGAACCAAAAGGAACAAAACGAUAGAAUGAUGGUUCUGCCAAAAAAUUUGCUAAUAAUUUUUGUGUCAUCAAUUAACAUAAUCUUUCAAGAUGGGAUUUCUCUGCUCAAUGGCUGCAUUCCUUCGCCAAUUCUCUACUGCUCUCUUAACCGUAGCAUUUGCCUGGUCUAUCUCCUCAGCAGAAAACUUGUGUUCCGUAAUUCCCAAAGGGCCUGGUUGUAGUACCUUAACCACAGUCUCCAUCUGCUGCUCCAGUUGCCUGUGAAGAAGCAGCAGCACAUAACUAGUUGAGCCAGAAAAUAAAUAAACACAGUCUUCAGCAAGUACAGUUAGCAAGUAACUAUAAAAAGAAAGAUAUUAUUAUUAUAUACAAAAAUUUCGGUCAGAUUGCUCAACCUAAUCAUACAGCUGAAACAAGCAAGUUCAAUGCAGGUAGUCAGUACAGGAAGGAUUUAGAUUAAAAACAUGGUAAAUCCAUAAGCUCAUUAGUCCGAACUCUCGUGCAAGUGUACUUAAUUUGCACUUAAUUUACUAGGGCUUUUUACAUAUUAACUUAUUGCAUAUUCAACAUCUUCAAAAUGUCAAAAAAAAAAUCCAAUUUAAAGUAGGAUGCCAGUCACAUAGUAACAAUAAAGAAAAUUGGUAUUAUCUUACUGCAAGAUCAUAUUGAAAUCAAAUAUGAUGGUAAUUACCCUAUAUUUCCAAUUAUUGUUUGAUAACCCUUCUCAAGAAAGUGUCAUAUAGAUAUCUUAAAUAAUUAGCUGGAACAAAAUUGCUAGGCUUCUCACUUCCACGUAUCACUCCAACAACUCCUACAGGGGUAACAUCAGGAACCCGAACAAUUUCAGGCUACUUAGAACUAAACCGCCACCAAGAGAUUAUUCUGCUCUCUCCAAGUCGAGAAAUAGAACUGACUAAUUGAACUAGUUUCCUCAACUAAACUCUUAACAGUCCCAAACAAUACUUGGGUUAUGAAUUUUAUUUAACUUUUUAGUUUUAUCAUUACAUGUUCAUUUGACUUUAGAAGAUGCUAACAGUAAAACUACAACAAUGAUUAGAUGAACUAUAUAACAAUGAAUAUGCUUAUUGUAAUACCCAAGAAAAUAAAAUAAUGAUAAUAAUAAAUAACAUAUAAAUUUAUUUAUCUAUUUUUAAUAUUUUAAUUGGACUUUGCAUUUUAUUUGGGUCAAAGUGGUCAUUUAAUUUAUGUGGGCUAAUAAGUAUUAAUAAGUGAUGGAUAAAUUAAAUUAAUAAAAUUUGGGCCUUAAUAUUAAUUGAACUCAAUUAGAAGUUUAUUAGAACAAGACCUCUUUAUUAAUAAGUAUCUAUACCUAAUUUUCCUCACAUACAUCCGAUACAAGUUGAUUGAGGGUAGAGAGAGGAAAAGACGCCAAGAGAGAAGAAGAAAAAAGAGAACACGAGGCUAGCGGCUACAGAGAAUAAGGGAGAAAUCGGAAGAUUAUUUGCAGGAGGAAGGAGUGAAUUCUUUUAAGGUAUUUAUAAUUUUAUCAUUAUAUUAUAAUUGGCUAGUAAUUGGUUUGGUGACGUGGGACAAUUCGUUUGACCAAAUCUAUAAGGUUAGGCAGCAUGCUAAUUAAGUAAAUAGAAUUGUAGUAUCUUGAUAUGUAUUUAUAUACAUAUAUGGUAUAUGCAUGAAUUGAUUAAAUUAUAAAUUUAUUGAAUGAAUGUGAAAGGUAUGCUUUGGAGUGUUAGUAUAAUAAGAUGGCAUCUUAUUUGGAGAUGUUAGUCAAACUGAUAAUUAUUAUGUGAAUUUAGUAUAUUUUAGCAACUCUUUAUUCAAAAUAACUAUGCCCUAAACUCUUGUAUUCUACAAAUAAAACUUUUGGUUUGGUACAGAAGAGAGUUGUCAAUAUAUGCAUAUAAUUGUAGAAUUUAAAAUUUUAUGGAUUAUGACUAUAAUAAUAAUAUGAAUUUGUAAAAAGGGUUAUGGAAAGAAUAAUUUUGUAAGCGUACUUAUAUUAAUUAUUAAUUUGUUUAGUUAGCUCGGACGGAGGGAGUUAACGAGUUAUAAUUGGAAUAUAAUUUUUGAGUAUUACAUUGCUUAAUCCAGGUACGGAUUCCGUACUCUACUCUUUUGAUUAUUGUUGCAUUCUUUGUAUCUCGUGAUAUCUCGUCAUUUAUUUUUCUUAUAAUCCUAUUGGAAAUCUUAAAUAGAAAUUUGAUAUUUGAUACUUUGGCUGUAUUCAGUAAUUUAAACUCUUUUCCUUCUAUUAAAAUUUGUACAUAUUCUAUAAUUUUUCAGCGAUACUCUUGUUAAAUUUGAUUUGUUCGUUUUAUUCCUUGUUUCAAAUUCUGUUAUUAUUUCACAUAAUUGUUUCUUGUGAAAUUCAUAUAAUAGUUUCAAUUUGGAGUUGAUACAUAUGACUCUUAUUUGUAUUCUUUGAAUUAGGUUAUCAUGUCUAGUAUUUAUUUUGAUAUUUGUAGAGCGAUAUAUGUUAUUACCUUCUUUUGGAGACAUUAUGAUUUGAUCUGGUUCAACAUAUACAUUAAAACCUCAUUUCUGUGGAUAUUGUGUCGCAUGUGUUGUGACGCGGUAUCUAUUUUUAUUGGUCUUAUGUCGCAUGUGUUGUGACAUGAUAUUUUGUUAGAAUAUAUUGUAGAGUAUACCUGAGCUAUAACCACAUGUGGGGGUACCACAAGCAUGUCGUCUUGGCACAAGAGGCAUGACACUUUCCGUGGCGCUGUGAUUAGUUCACGGUGUCUCCGUUUGGGCUCCGGAUGAAGUGGGUCAUUUGGUGUUUUGUUGUGGGAGGCGUAUGGGUUAACCCUAGUUUUCUGUUCUGCGGAUUUGUGAUGUUGUGUCAAACACACCUAUCCGAUUUGCAUACAUUUAGAUUCGCGAUCCAAUGUAUGAUUUGACUGUGUGACAUUAUUUUGGUUGCUUAUGUGACAUUAUUUUGACUUACCUGUGUGGCAUUAUUUUGACUUGCCUGUGUGGCAAUGUAUAUUUCUGAGCUCACUCGGUAUGAAAUAACACCCAACCAUUUGAUUCAGCCUAUUAUUUCAUUGUAUUAGUUUUGUUUGUUUCUGUUCAGUUUAAUUAAUUGAGUUAGUUACUUCAGUUCAUUCUUUACUCUUCUGUUUGUUUUGUUAAAUCUGUGGAUUCGGAUAUAUUCUAUUCAGACUUUGGAUAUCAUAUUUUUGUCGGUCUUUAAGCUUGAGGUUUUGUUAAGUAUGUUGCUUCAAUUGAUUUCGUAUUUCAGUUAUACAUCUUUGUAUUAUCUAUAUUUGUACUGGUCAAUUGGCUCAUGCUGUGUUUUUCUUCCGGCAAGUUUGGUGAUUCAGGGCUAGUGUGAUGAAAGAGUUGCCUUUAACCAUCUAAGUUGACUCGAUGUUUGGAAAAUUGUAUUUAGUACUUUAUAAAUGGAUCACCACUAUUAAUAAUUUGAAGUUAUUAGUGCUCUGUUUAUUUAUUUUGAGGUUUGUUGUGUUUUGCACGUGACCUCCUUGUUACACUUGUCAUAUCAAACACCUAUUAAACCAUUUAAUAAAUGUUUCACCAAUUUAAGUAUUCUAACUUUGUCAACUGAUAUACAUACUUCGAACCCUAAUUGAUUAGUUUGAUUUAAUAAUGAGAAUACCCACUUGCAGAUUAAGAAAUUUUGAAUAGAUUGUGUGUGAGCGCUGAGAAAGGGAGGAGUACCUGAAAAUUCCGGAGAACGGCAAAGAACUUCCGAACCUUGGAAAAGAUAUCGGCAUACUUGUGAGGAGUAGUUUCAAUUGAUCGGAAAACCAGCUUCUUUAAUAGUCCCUCUUUCUCAGUCCGUUUGGAGCUGUAGUGGUUAAAUCCGGCAAAGUAAAGAAAGGGGAAUUGUAUGCUUGGAAAACUCAGGCGAGGUCAAAAAUGAAAAAUAAAAUUAACUAAUAAAUAUGAGUGCAUAUAAAAAAAAAGGGCUAUAUGAGCUUUAUUAUAUAGUCGGGUUAUCCAUUGCCAUAUCCCAAAAUAGAAUAGUUAUGACAAUUCGUUAUUAUAGUUCAAAAAAUCGUUGUUAAAGUCAACUGUAUACUAUAAAUAUAUUUUUCUCAAAAAAAAUUAUCACAAUAAAUAUUUAUGGAAAAAAAAUAUUAAAUAUGGAGUAAUAAAAUGUUAUGUAAUGAGUGAUUAGAAAAACUCUUUAAAAAAUUAAGAUUUUAUUAAUUUUCCUUUCCUUUUUUUUUUCGUGUCAAAUAUUUCACGAUUGAUUGUUUUUUAAGUUCUAAGUUAAUUUAGUUACGAACUUAACUUGGUUAGUUCUUGAGUUUUUAAGGAUUAGUACGAUAUUAUUAUGGUUACGUGUAGUAUUUCUUAGAAAAUACUUAUCCCUUCAAAAAAUUAGAGAUAUAAUUAAGUCCAUAUUAAAUUUUAAAAUUGAUAUAACUUAUAAAAAUUUAUAAUAAAAUAAAUUUUGUGAUUAAUAGUUUUUGUUAUGUACUAUACAAUUAUAAUAAUUGUAUCAAGUAAAAUAAAAUAAAUUCAUAUCAAAUUUGAAGUUUAAUAUGCCGUCGUUUGAUUUCAAAAAUCAAAUUGUAUAUUGAAUUUUGAAACGAUGGGAGUAUAACAGAAAUUUUAUUUUCUUUUGCACAAACUUAUCUAGAUUAUUCAUAUUUUAUCUUAAUGUUCAUGUUAAUUGAUAGUUUAUAUAUAAUUUUCUUAUUAUAUAUGACGAUAAAUUCAUCCAUAGGAUCCCAAGUACGCAGAUCAAUCAAAAGUUCAAUUCUAUCUGAACAACUUCAAAUUCACAAAGAUUCAUUUUUGAUUUAAAAAAUUUCUUAUAAUUUGAUCCAUAACAAUUUUCACGUUGUGAUUGUAUUUUUAAGUUACGUCCAGAUCAUUAGAACGGGUUGUUAUACCGGAACCCUCAAUCUCACCACAAAUGGAAGGACUUAUGUGAAAUUGUGGAUACAUGGGAAUGUGAUACAUAUAUAUGAAAUUAUGAAUAUUGGAUAGCUAAUAACGUGGAACUCGAUUUGGCUUGAGAGUUGGGAUUGGUUCCAUUCACUCGCUCAACAUUUAGUCCCAUGUAGCUGAAAAUGGUAAGAAAUGUAAUUGAUCUCUUAUGGUAGCUUUUUAUUGACUUUCUGUGACAUUUUCUUGAUGGAUUGGCUCUUUUAUUUUCUUAAAAUGAAGUUUUGCUUAGAUAUUUAUAUUAAUUGGAUUGGACAUGAUAUUUAUGCAGAAAAUUUAGGCCUUAAAGAUGCAUGAACUAAAUGGCCUACUCUGCCAAGCCGAGUCGGCAUAUAUGAAUGAAUGCCAUUGCCAAAUCAUAUAGGUCCAAUCAAUAGUGCAUUGCAUGUCCCUCCUACUGCUUAGAAUUAAGACAUAAACCAAGUAAAUUUAAAUUUCUUGUUUGUUGGGAUAGCAGAUAAUAUGUUUUUCUUAAGCUGGAAACAUAAUCUUGUUUGCUUGUUACUAAGUAGUAGUACAAGGAAAAAGAAUAAUCUCACUUAAUACAUACAGUACAACAGAUCAAAUUUAACAUUAUGAGCCUCACAUCAACAGUUGAACUAAAGUAGUAGUAGUAGCAGUAGUAGUAUACUAUACACUCUUCGUUAUUCCCAUACAGGUGUCAGGUGGUUAUGAAACAGAAUGACGCCUUCGCUUCUGAAAGAAAAAUCGACUUUCUGAAUUAACCCUGCCACCCAGACCCAGGGCCUUCAUAUCUUUGAUGCGAAACAAGGCAUUGAGCUUGCUUAAUUUCUUUGUGAAUGACCUCAAUAACUUAUUUGCAGGGUGUGUCUUAACAAGCUCCUGCUUCAUAGAGACAUGAUCUUUUUCCAAGUCAGUCAGCCUCAUCCUCAUUCUACCUACUUCAAGCUUCAGUUCUCUAUUUUCUCUUCUCACUGAUGCAUAAUUGUCUCGUGGUGAGAUGCACCCACUUCCUGCACCACUGCCUGAACGCUGAGGGAACUGCCCAUUCAUUGACCCAAAAAAGAAUUGAUUGUGUCCCCCAUUCAUUGCAUUCCGAAGCCUGAUCUGCUCAAAGUACAACACUUGGACGGCCAUUUGCACUGGUAACCUUUCAUUUUGAGCUGCAUGGCUGCAGGCUUCUUGAGAUAGUUUCUGGCAAUCUAUGGUUUUGCAGAGUCGAUAACGCUCAGAAUCCUUGAUAUUUGGAUGCACCUGUUAGGGCAAACACAAUGGCUCAGAAACCCUGUAGAUCUGGUGAUAAAUCAUAGCAUAGUAUUCUUGUUGAGAAAGUUAUAGCAUGUCAUAAGCAACUUAAUAAGUUAUUGCAUGUGAUAAUGAUAGAAUUGCUCACCUUGAGAAAGAUAUCCACCGCUCUGUACAAUCCGUCGUUCACUAGGCGAGCAUGGUCCGGAAGUAAUUCGGCCAACGAUAUAAACUUUGACGGAGGCAAGUUUGAAUCUAGUGCAACUUCUGCAAGAUAAUUGUCCAAUAAUUUUGAUACCUUAAGGAUCGAGCUUUGUUUUGGAGAUCCAGGGCUGUCAAAGUCAUAAACCAUCUUGCUUUCAUCCCUCAUAUGGUUAUCCUCAUCAUCAUCCUCGUCCAAAUUCAAGAAAAUGGAGAAGAUCUUCAAGAUUGAGUCUGUGUCAUAGAUUGGGCUAUGAUUGUUUCCAUGUGAAUUUGCAGGAAUAAGGAUAUCUUCAAGAAUUGCUUGGUCCAGUUGCAAACCAAUCCGCCUCUCCAGAUCAGAUCUGCAGGAAGUAGUUGCUGAUGCUGUUAUUACAGAUUUUAACAAACUUGAAAGAAAUGCCAUCGGAACUGUGCUCUUCCUUGAUUGGGUCGGUAGUAAACCAACUAUUGCUUCAACAAUGACCCUUUGUUUCUUCUGCAGUUCUAUGUCAGAUAAACUUCCUCUGACCAAUUGAGGAUCCCUCAUGACAAGGCCUAGGAGAGAAUUAUGGGCAUAGUUUAUUAAAAUUCUGCUGAUCAUAUCCUGAUUUAGACCUUUUGUUUUUACUAUAGAAAGAACCCUUUGGAAGAAAUCAAGACUAAGCGCUGUUAGUGAAUUUCCCCACCAGUCUGAGGGUAUUUUUGUUUCCAUGUUUGGUAUGGAUUUUGAAGGGUAGUUGUGAUCUAGUUUAGACAAGCCAGAUGUGAGCUGCUCUUUACAUGCAUUAUUUGCUAUUGCACUGAUAAUUCUACUGACCAGGUUGAUCUCUUCUGAUAUUGGUUGGAAUGUUUCACAAUGGUGAAGAACAGAUAUUGAGUUUGAUAUGCUUGGGAGUACUGUUUCCUUUAGAUAUACUUCAGUUCGGGGUGCUAGAUUCUUCUCGGAAAAAUCUUCAGUCAUUUCCAGGAAAUGGGCAGCACAACGUAGCAUAGCAACAUUUGAUAGUGUUAUCUCAAUGUUCACUCCAUAGCAGAACUUUGCAGCAAGCUCAAAUGCCUCUGCUCCACCAGGAACACCAGUGAGAUUCAGUCGACAAUUUUUUGCAUCUUUUGCUUCCAACAGCAGCUUUUGAAUUCUUCCACUUCGAGAAACUAGAGGGAACUGCGAGGGAGUUGUUAUCACAUUAAAAAAAGUCGUACUAAAGGUUUUACUUCCUUGUUCUAUAACAUUAUCUAUCCCUUACCACUGCAACAUAUCAAAGCUUUUCGUAUUUAAUUACAUCUUCAUAGAAUAUUUUGAGUACAGUUUUGCUCAAUUAUGAGCUUGCAUUAAUCUCACAUGCACACACGUGUCUAAAUCACUAAUUGGGUUUGGAACAUCUUUAAUUUAUAUUUGUCAUUCUUCUCAUGUUUCGGUGUUACUUCAGAAGUAUGCAUGGGUACAGUUCAACCAAAACCAAAAGUUGACUAUUUCAAUAACUAGACAGUAAAAGCAGGCAUGUUUAUAUAACUGCCGACUGCAAUCAAGUUCCUGGAUAUACUUGGCUAAAUCCAAGUCUCCAAUACUUAAUAAGCUGAAACAUGGGAAACAUAUAUCUCCUUACUUUGUGAAGUGCAAAACUUGUAGCUCCUACUUCAAUCGUAAGAUCGCUGGAAACAUCAGAUAUUGGCCUGCAAUGUGAAACAAUCGCAAAAUCGGUAUCAUCAUGAGACAAUAAUUUCCAAAACAAAGAUCUUCAAACACGACUCCUGUUCAUACACUGAACAACUCACACCUAUGGACAGUACUGUGAUCCAUCUUGUUACUACUUUGAAAUAAAGGGCCCCGGAUGAUAACGAAGUAUUCAUUAAGACAAUAACAACAUAAUGGGUGGGACUAGUCUAGCAGAAUUGCAGGAGAUAGGGGUAUAGUUCUUGAUGGUAACAUUCUCCAUAAAUAUUGUUCCUUCGGUUUAUUCUAUGUAAAACUUGAAGAUGUGUCAUAAUCAACUAGUUAUGGUACAAUGUUUUGUUCUUUGAUUGAGGGACUCUAGAUGGUAAAAUUGCAGAAAUUAUUGAUGACAGACAAUAGAUUAAUGGCAGUUUACAAAAUUUGUGGCUCCAGUUGAAACAAGGACAUUAGCCUUGUGCAGUUGUCGAUCGACUUCGAGUUUUGCUUAAGGUCAUUGUCAAAUGUUUAUUAUGUGAUGUAGUAUAUUGACAAAAAUUCUAAGAGCUUAGGAAUAGUUUCUUUUGAGUCUUAUGUAAUGAGAAUAAAAAUUAAAUUAGGUUUAUGAAAUUAAUUACAGUAUAUUAAGAGUAAGAUAAAUUAAGUUGUUCAAGUCCUAGUAUAAAUUGUUUAUGUAAACAUUUGGUUUCUAUUAUUAGAGUUUUACUUUGCCCCCAUUAUACUUGAUAGGAUUAUCCGGUCAGUUGCCAGUUAGUCAGAUCUAGUAUGGAUCGUACAUAGACGGUAGUUGGAGUCUGCGGCUCAAGUUGCUUUUCUUUUUGUCUAACUCAUCCUCAUCUCUAAGUCUUGGUUUUUCUAUAUUAGUAUUGUAAAUCACCACAAAUUUAACUAGAGAGUUGAAUUGGGAAAAGACUUUAUAUGCCAUUGUAGCCUUCUGGUAGGCUGCUUCUCCCUUGUCACAGCUGUGUAUCACUAGGUGUUGGUUUUUUAUUUUAAUUAUAGAGGAACUACAGUUGAGGAUGGUACUGCACAAAACUCCUACAGAAUCUGUAUUUAUGGGGUCAAGAACAUGUUCUAGUACUCGUAUAGUUUCAGAUAGUACUCAAAAUGCAAGUACUAUUAGAAUGGAGCUCCUAAAUGAAUAUAAUGGGUCACAAUGGUAUUGAAAAGUUGAGUCAGUAAUUCAAUUAUAAUCAAAAGCUCUGCUCUGUAAGAUGAUGGCCUCAACUAUUUACACAUUGAUCUCUCUGUUAUCAAAUUCCUCCGGAUAUUAUUAGUCAAACUGUGAAACUACCUUAAAAUUACUCUGAAUACCCUUUAGGAGAUGGGAAUAAUCUAAAAUUGUGAGAAUAAGACAACAUUUAUGAAAAUGGGAAAACAUUUAGAAAUACUCUUUUUUUUUUAAAGUUAAAUUUACCAAGUACCAAGUUGCAAGAUGAAGAAGAAGAAUACCAUUCAGUGAAAUUACGUGUGCUUGCGCUUGGACGAAAAGUCCUCUUCCCUGAGAUGCUUGGCUUCAAUUCCCCAACUGUAACAACUCCCAUAUUAAGCUUAGUUCGACAACCCUAGCUCACACUUGAACCAAGCCCACCACCUUCUAUAGAAUUGCCCGGUUUUGAAAUUCUCUCACUCUGUUAAGAACCACCCAUUUUUGUGAAUGAGUGUGUGCAGGCCAGGAACAGGAAAGAGAAAGCUAGAGUAAGGAGAAAGUCACAUGAACCCAUGCAAGAUUAAAUGUUAGUGAUUAAACUUUAAUUGAGUGUUGUUAAUCUGGUUAAUUUGAAAAGUGAAAGAAUAUUAGUAGUACUGUUAUGAUUAAUAGGCCUGAUGUUGCUUUUCGGUGAAAAGGUGGGGAGGGAGGGAGGGAGUGCCUUUCUCACCAUAAUGUUUUUUGUUUUUUGGGAGAGAUUUCAUGAUUCCAGAGGGGUUGAAGUGCUUUUGGGGAUUGUAAUCAUAUAUAGUAUAAGCUAGUGAAAAGCUAUUUAACAUAAAAAUCGAGUCUAUAAAACUCCAAGCUCAUUAAAAUGAGACAGUUGGGCAAUAAUAAAUAGGGUGGGAGUAUUGCUGCUUCGUCCGUCCUACAAACAUUGUCAUAUGAUUUAUAUUAUAAAUUUGUAUAAAUAUAUUUUUAACGUCUCUUAAGAAAGAAAUUCUUUUCUUCUUCAAAUUACUAUAUUUUUGGUUGGAAUGGUUGGUUGGUGGGGGUGGCAAUACUAAAAUUGUUUGUCUUCAUAACCCAACAUGCGGGGGGACCAAUAUGAUUUAUAUGUGCAGGUGUGAUUGAAUAUUGGAAAGAGGAAUAAUAGAUGAUGAGAAAGUAUAAUUUUGGCCAAAAGAAGGGCCAUAUGUAAUGUAAGUGCAGGCUGAUUAUAUAGUUAAGCAUAAAUAUAGCAAAGGUUUAGGCUUUAGCCCGAAAGAAGGCAAAAAAGGUGAACUAUUGUCCCUUAAUUAUGUCACACAGAGAACCAAGCCUGUAAGUGUCCCCACUCCCCACUUAUGUAUUACCUUGACCCACAAAUAUACAAAUAUAUAUAAUCUUGUAUUUAUAUUUUAGACGGCAGAAAACAAAUUUAUAUGUAUUUAACGACAUUUUUAUAUUUGUUUUAACAACUCUUUGAACGUCACGUAUUGUUCUGGUAUCAAAAUUAUUGGUCUUAUGGUAUUAUGAUUGUAAAUUUACUUUUUUUGGUGGGAUAAAUGUUGAAUUAAUCAUGACUUGAGACUGAAUCUAUAAGUGGAAAUGAUGGCUUUAUUGAUCCCUAUUUGGGUGGGCAGGCAGGCCCAGACUAUUGUCAGUUUAUCAGAAGCAAUUAACAUGUAUUGAUAGAACUUGAUCAGUGGUUAGGACUCGGGAUCAUAUAGUCGCAACAUAACACAAGAGCUUUGCUAUGUAGAGGUAUGUUGAUACCAUCCAAGCUUUGCUAUUACUCUCUCUCUCUCUCUCUCUCUCUCUCUCUCUCUCUCUCUCUCUCUCUCUCUCUAUUUCUUUCUUUAUUUUUCUCAACUACUAUUAGUCAUGGAUAUGUAAUAUGAUGAUAAUCCUUGUCCUUGUCUUGUCCUGUGUUAUUAUAAAGGAGAAACAAACGACAAAAAGAUAUCUUUUUUUCGUACUAUAAAUUUUUGAGCAGUUCUAGGUGGACAUAAAAAUUGGACAUAAGUGUAUUUAAAUUUCACUUAUUUAUAUUUUUAACCCCAAAUGGAGUCAAAAUACAAAUAAAUAAAAUUUAAAUACAUUCAUGUCCAAUUUUUAUGUCUGAGUAAGAAUUUUUGUAAAUCUUGAUAUGAAAGUGACGUGUGUAUGUUUAUUGCAUCAUUAGGAUUUAGGGUCAGUGAAGCAAGCUUGUGGCCACAAUGAUGAUGUACAGGAAACAAAUGAGCCCACCAAUUUAAAAGCCCAAUAAUUUAACUUAAUUGCUUUAUAGACUUAAGCCCAAUAAUUUAAUUAAUACAAUAUAUACUUUCUUUUAAUGGACUCUUCACCCAUGGCUACUAGGAGUGAGCAUUCGAUUAUUAACCGAACCGAAUACACAUUCGGUUAUAACCGAAAACCGAAUUAUGUUGUUUUGGGUAUCCGAACAACUAUCCGAAUUGACUAAUAACCGAAUAACCGAAUUAAUUAUUCGGUUAUUAACCGAAUGUAGUACACAGACGCUACACAGCAAUCAGCAUGAAUUAUCCUAACAGUGUUAUAUGUCUACAGUCAACAUUCUUUAACACCAACUGAGACAACAAUCAACAACACCAAGUCCAACUGAUAUACUGACAACACAGCAUGAAUUUCCAACAGAGUACAGAUAACAUUCAACAACUACAGUACUACUUUACAAGAGAAAAAUGGCAAUUAUGCUGCAUUUUGGAACCAAAAGCAAAAACUCAUGCAGUAACUAAAAUGUAGAGUACAUUACAAAAUCAAACCAGAAUUAGUAGUUUCCUUCUAUCCAUUACAUUGGGAAACUUCAACAGUAAUGACAGAGACUUGAGCUUAGAAGAUAAGAAUGAAUUCAACUCAUAUUUUCUUCAAUGACUCAUAUGUAAUGUAUACCACGGCCUGUUCAAGUAUGGGUGCUCCUGCAGUUGAUAUAAAUUAAAUUAAUAUUUGGAUUAAUAUUCCCACUGUGAGAGUCAAUACAGAGCAUUUUUUUUCCUCAACUUCAUAUAAAAAAUAUUUGGAGAAGAUGAACACAAAUAUACAUUUCAAAAUGCAGAAAAAACAUGAUGUACACAAAACAAAGGCAGGUAUAAAGAAAUUCAAGUAUCAACAAUUCGCAACCAAUAACUAAUAUUAAACAUGGUGUUGAGUUGGGGUCUUAUUCAGUCUUACCUGACAUGAAAUGUGGUCCAAGUGUCAUCUGGGGCUGCUCAAGAAAAUCAAGGGGAGAUGAAGAUAAAACCAAUUUCCUCUUUAAGUUUUCAAAAUUUUGUUGCCUAAUACACGGCCUUCAGUUUUAGCAAGUAAUGUGCAUGAUACAGCCAGACUUCUAGUAUAAUCUAAAAUAACAAUGGGAUAUACAGUAUACACCAUGAUUAUAGCAUAUUGCACCUUGAAAACAUGGUUACUUACUACUACAGUACUACUUUACUAAUUGAUGAUACCUACGUACUACUAGUACGUUAAUUAAAACUAUAUAUAUAUAUAUAUAUAUAAUCAAGAAAGUAUACAUUUCAUAUUGUUUAAGGGAAUCAUUAGAAAAUCAAAUAAAGUAUAAAAAUAUACGACCAUAUACAAUACUAUAUGCCUAACAUACAAAUCCACGUCGGUCACGCCACCAAACAUAUUUAUUAUUAUUGCCUAAUCAUAACAAUGUGACUUCAGAUUUUGGUCAAUUUUAUUCAUUGCACAACCCUGACAACAUUAACACAACAAUACCUCAUCUUUUGGGAUUAUUAAAAUAGCCAAUAAAACAAAACUAUUCAAUAAUACCUAUGAACUAACUUCUAUACUUGUCAAGACAGAUUAUCUUUAUAUGAUGUGCUGCACAAUUGAAAGUAGAAAAUCACCCCAAAAAUAGGCUAUGCCUUCAAAAUUCAAAUUAGGUCUCCAUAGAAAAUACUAGACAAGUCUCCAAUUUCAGCCUGCCAACACACAAUCAGAAUUCAGCAAACCAUAGAAACCAAAUUUUAGGAGAGAACAAGCUAUUCUUCAAAUGCAAACAGAGACAAGAAAGUUAAUAGCCACCACAAUUGCUAAUACACUUCAAUUACUACCUAUUUGAUAAUAUCGUGCAACUGAUAAAACCAUGAAAUCAAUUUUUUAGGAGCUCAACUGAUAAAACCAUGAAAUCAAUUCAGAGCAGCCAUUAGAGAGUAAGAGAAGGAAGUUGAAGGAAAAUCGAACCGGAUGCCGUCGGCGUGACGCGUCGACCGAUGAGGCGAUGAGAGUUCGAGAUCUGAGAGUCCGACUUUGAGAGAAAUCGAUCAAGAUCUGUUGACUGACUGACUGUUGAGAGUUGAGAGUUGAGACUUCAGAGGUGAGAGGACAGAGAUUGAGACUUCAGAGGACAGAGACUUCAGAGGAUCGAGAUCGACGAGUCGUGUAGAUGAGGAUCGAGAUCGACGAGUCGUGUAGUCUUCAGAGGACAGAGACUUCAAACAGUUUAGUAGAGUAGAUGACUAAGAUGAGUGAUUGAGUGUAGUCGACGAGUCCUAUUAUCGUGUAGAUGAGUAGAUCUGUAGACUUUGCUUAGCUUGUUCGGUUAUUCGGUUUACCCGAAUAACCGAAAAAU